rnacentral:lncRNA from 1 species
CCAAUGCACGGCGGUCGACAUGUCGAGCGCAGACAGUACUCCACCAAUGCCAGCGAUUGCUCGGGCUAGCCGGUGCCGCAGCUCCGCCACGGGCCAUGGAAGCCGUGGGUGGACUCGAUGGCGCUAUCAAGGCGAAGCAUGAUGCUUGGAGGUCCGCACCGGCAAGCAUUCGGCAGAUGAAGGACUCGUCCAUCUAGUUGAGGAAGAAUGAGUGGCUUUCCUCCAUCCAGGGACC